rnacentral:misc_RNA from 1 species
ACACUGCUUUGUCUCCAGACGGUGAGGAUUUUAGUCGGGCUUAGUGAACACAGCCCAAGCAUUCAUGAGUGAGGAACAAUCUCCGAACAAGAAACCUAGACUUAUAGACAGCAUGAAGAUAGGGACACACAAUGGCUCCUUUCACUGUGACGAGAUUCUGGCAUGCUUCAUGCUGAGACAGCUUCCAAAGUAUGCUGAUGCUGAAAUUAUCAGGUAUACCAGAUUAUAUUGUAAUGUAAGAGACAAAUAUUGCCUCUGUUGGGGUUUGAACCUGGGUCCUGUGGCAAGCAAAUCUAACACUCUACCAAUAUUGAUCUAAAGGGUUCACUCACUAGCCAGAGCUAGUAGAAAUGCCAUAUACCUGACACAACCACAGUAAUUUGAUAAUGAGAUAACUAAAUGGGGACAUUGCUUUUUUAGGUACAGAUACAGUUUGGUAACUAUUAUGGUACUGUGUAUUGAUUCACGAUGGAAGGUAUAAGUUUUAAACAUGUCUGACACCUUCACACCUUUCUUUGUUUUUAUUAGGACUAGAGACCCAGCAGUCCUGGACACAUGUGAUGUGGUUGUGGAUGUUGGGGGAGUGUAUGACCCAGCUAAAAAUAGAUUUGACCAUCACCAAAGGACAUUUAACGAGUCAAUGAGCACCGUCAAUCCGCCCAAGAAAUGGACAACAAAGCUGAGCAGUGCAGGGCUGGUGUACUGUCACUUUGGGCGGGAGAUCGUGAGUAAGAUCCUAGAGCUUCCAGUCGGAGACCCAAUAACAGAUGUCGUGUACGACAAAGUGUACGAGAACUUCGUGGAGGAGAUUGAUGCUAUUGACAACGGAAUUAAUCAAUACGACGGGGAACCCAGGUACCAGAUAUCCACAAACAUUAGCAUCCGGGUCAGUCACUUCAAUCCUCAGUGGAACGAACCAAAUGCUGAUGAAAUGGCUGGUUUUCUGAAAGCCAUGAAGAUGGUGGGAGCUGAGUUUCUGGACAAGGUCUUGUAUUACAAGAAGUCGUGGUUACCAGCUAGAGAGCUAGUGGAAGAAGCCGUCAAAGGGAGAACAGAGGUAGACCCUAGUGGGGAGAUAGUGGUGUUUAAAACGGGGGGAUGUCCCUGGAAGGACCACCUGUUUAACUUGGAGGCGGAGCUUGAUAUCAAUCCACCAAUCAAAUACGUCCUAUACACAGACCAAGCUAACAAAUGGAGGAUACAGUGUGUGCCAGAAUCUCUAGUGUCUUUUUCAAACAGACUGUCGUUGCCAGAGGACUGGCGAGGCCUGAGAGACGAUGUCCUUACAGAGAAGUCUGGGAUUGAGGGAUGUAUCUUUGUUCACGCGGGCGGUUUUAUUGGUGGGAAUCACACUUAUGAGGGUGCUCUAGAGAUGGCAAAGAAAAGUCUGAAGAUGGCAGAAAAAAAGACCUAGUGUUCAACAUCAAAGACAGUUACUCCAUUGCAAUUGUGCUCAGGUUGUUUCAUCUAUUGCAUUGUAUUUGUAUCAAGUCACUGCCGUAGCUGAAUCUCAUGGAAAUAAAAAAUAACGAUGAAAGUUGGUUAAUCU